CUGACAUUGGUGGUGCAUAUACUAAAAUUGGAAUGAUACAGAGAAUAUUAACAUGGCCCAUGUGCAAGGAUGACUCUCAAAUUCAUGAAGCAGUCCCUAUUUUG